AUGUUAAAUUGCUGAUCAUGUUAAAUCAUCCUGCAGGAUGAUUUCCAAUAUGUGGAAGGACUGUUUAUUCCUAUGUUCUAACAAAUGUUCCCGGACCAUACUCUCUAGGAAGACUGACGGUGGUGACGCCUCAGAAGCCCCACACCACCAGGCUCUCAACAGGAAGGCUCCCUUGUGCCUAAUGUAAUAAUGAUUUGUGCCUUUUUAGCCCACCUAAUUAUAUAUCUUCAACUAUACUUGUAAUGCCAGUCAUGGUAACCUCUUUGAAUGUAUAAAUACAUAGAUUAGCCUGCAGGAUGGUAAAAGCUUUUGAUAGAGCCCAGGCCUGUGAACCAAAAGAUUGCAGUUGAUUCCCAGUCAGGGCACAUGCCUGGGUUGCAGGCCAGUUCCUAGCAGGGGCCAGUCCCCAGCAGGGGACAUACCAGAAGCAGCCAUACAUUGAUGUUUCUCCUCCUCUCUCCUUCCCUUCCCUUCUAAAGAUAGAUAGAUAGAUAGAUAGAUAGAUAGAUAGAUAGAUAGAUAGAUAGAUAGAUAGAUGAUAGAUAGAUAAAUAAAUAAAAAAUUUUUUAAAAAAACUUUUGAGUGCCACCUCUCAAGCCAUUAGGGCCAUCAGUCAAGAACUACAACAAGUUAGAGAAGUCAUAUUAGAAAAUUGUGCAGCUAUGGGCUACCACCUUUUAAGACAGAAUCACAGGUGUUAAGAAUUUAAAGGACUCUACUACUUCAAUCCGAAUGAUAAUUCAUAGCUAAUAGAGCAUAAAGUAAAGCAAGUAAAUUAAGUGGUGCCCAAGAUAAAAUGAAGAGGGAUUCUUUGGUACUGAGUUGUCUAAACUAACUUCCUAGCUGACUAAUAUUGCUGGUCAUGGAAAGACAUCUGUUGUUUUCCUUCUUUUUAUCUUUUUCAGUAUCACAGCUUGUUGCAUACAAUGUGUCCCCUUAUGUGGAUCUGCAAUUAAGUGUAUUCCUUAAGAGACUUUCUAAUGCUAGGAUACAUGUUGGUAACCACCAUACCUGGUUUCAAAAGCUGUAACCCCACCCCCCACCCCCCACCCCCCCACGGCUAAGGCUGAAUGCUUAACCUUCAGAACAUAAGCCACUAAGGAGACAAAGCUUAUCUCCCUGGCAGGGAUGCUGCCUCUGUCCCCUUUUGCCUGGCUCCCAAUGCAUGAUCGGUUAGCCAAUGAUGGGUAAGAUUCCUCAAGGGAGGAACCACCUAAGACAGGCAUGAUCAUGGGGGGCCCCCAGGGAAGGACAGGAAGGACUUGGGGACUAUAGAAUAAGGGGGUGAUAGACCCUCACCCCUUGGCUUUGACAUAGCCUGAGUCCUCAUUCUGUCUGCAAGAAGUCUCCUGAUCUCCUGGCUGCCUUACAUCCCCAGCCUGACUUAAGCCUGAAACAAUGACAGAGGGCGGUGCAGCCCUGUGCUGGAAAGGGGGGUUCCCCAGGGUGAUCAGACCUAAGAAAGAGUACAUAAAAUCCUGUGAAACCUGCCUUUAUAAGAAUGCCCUCAAUUAAAUGAUAAGGGUCCAAGCAGGAAAUGAGUUUGUUUCCCAAAGUUUUGUAGCCCUUUAGCUAACAGACCCUGACUCAAAAUAAGCCCUCGUAGUUCUUUGAUACUUACUGCCUGACAAUGAUUGAUGAGCUUUACCUGUAUUCCUGUGCAAAAUGAACCCAAUAAAAGCCCACUGAAGAAAAGGCUCUCGGCCCUUCUCCUUUGAGAGAUUGGCCACCUAUCCUACCCAAGCAGAUCAAGUCUUGGUAGACUUAUUCUCAUCCACGAUAGCCAGGGGGGCAGGGCCCUGUGGGCAGAGCCCCCUCCCCAAUACAUGCUCUACAGCGAAAUAAUUACUUCCACAAGAAACUGAUCUAAGAAGAUAGUUAAGACUAACAUUGGGAUAAUGAUGGGGGAACCCAGGAGUUAAAAAAUGUUAGCUUUAAGUUAUAGUUAACAGGCUUAGUGGUUAAUGCAGGUAGAAAGCUGUUGUUCUAGGAACUGAAAUGUAUGACCAGACCUGCCCAGACUCCAGGAGGCCUGCAAGCAAUUCAACCUUUGUGCUCCAGGAUUGUAAGCCAUCAAGAUGGUAUCUGAGCCACUGUGCUCCAUGGAGAGAAAGUCUGCUGACCAGGAUGCAGAUAAAGAAUCACAGGUCAACAGAUGAAGAUAUUGCCACAGCUACUCCAACCUUCAGCAACAACCAACCACUCUGAUCAGUCAGCAGCCAUCAACACUGAGGCAAGACCCUCCACGAGCAAAAAUAACAAAAGGAUUACAACUCACAGAAGGCUCAGGUGAAGGCCAAGGGAAGGAGCAUGGUGCACAUCCGGUCCAGGCAACCCACCAGUGACUGCAGCCCUAGCCAGUGCCGGACCUUCAACUGUCAGAGAACCACCCACAUGAGCCCACUCAAGCCACAGAAAAGUGAGAGAUAAUAAUAAAUUUUUGUUUUAGGAUAUUGCGUUUGGAGAUUUCUUG